GGAGGAAAAUCUGCGCUCCAGCAGCUGGGACCGAGGCAUGAGAGCGUUGAAUCAUGAGUGGCACCGUUCGCAAAAAUUGGUGUCUUUGUACAAAGACAGUGCCACAACACAACUCAGUGACCAUCGGGAGAGCAGCCUCAUGAUGGGCGAUGCUCCAUCAGUUUUCUCUUGCGAUCUUUUGCAUAGAUCGGUCCCGCCCCGCAUAUGGCGAUGAGGACUCAAGAGACACGGAAAACGUUUUCUUUCUGGAAAACAUGAAAUAGGCUUUGUAGAUGGACAGGAAGUCAAGGGACAAGCGGUGCGCCGCAGAGAGCGAGGACCCACUCUUCUAUUCCUUUGCGGAGGCACGGACACACGGUGUGGCCCGAAACAGCGGCAGGAGAGUGAGACCCGGGCUCCGACCGCGGUGGUAAGGGGGCGGCGGGCCAUAGGGGCGCCAGGGGCCCACCCUUCCCUGGGGAUUCGAGGAAACGGGUCGAGGCGACAGCGUGAAGGCCUACGCCGGGGGAGGGGGUGGUGGCGGGGGGCGUUUCUGUGGGGGCGAGGAAGGGAGCGGGUCUCCGCAGGCGGAAGUUUGCUUUGGAAGAUUUUAUUCCAGACGCUGUCCUGGUCCCUGGACGGUUAGGAACGGUUGGGUCCUGCUACUGCCUCCGUGGGGCAGGGAGCCUCGCGAGACCAGCACUGCGCCCUACUCGGUCCACCCUGUCCCCGCUCCGCGCUAGGGGCUCACCCUGGGAACAGGGGUCGGGCGAUCCUGGUCAUUGGGGGAUCUUCCGCACUAGCUUCCAUCACAAUACCUGGCAGGUGAUGAGCAAUAAAUAUUUGCUGAAAGAACG
rnacentral:lncRNA from 1 species